rnacentral:rRNA from 1 species
AACGUAGGAGACAAACGUUAUCCGGAGUUACUGGGCGUAAAGGGCGUGUAGGCGGUUUGUUAAGUCUGGCGUGAAAGCUCUCGGCUAAACCGGGAGAGGUCGUUGGAUACUGGCAAACUAGAGGACGGUAGAGGCGUGUGGAAUUCCGGGUGUAGUGGUGAAAUGCGCAGAUAUCAGGAGGAACACCGGUGGCGAAGGCGGGUCUCUGGGCCGUAACUGGCGCUGAGGAGCGAAAGCGUGGGGAGCGAACAGG